rnacentral:rRNA from 1 species
AGCGAACGCUGGCGGCAGGCUUAACACAUGCAAGUCGAGCGGGCAUCCUCGGGGUGUCAGCGGCAGACGGGUGAGUAACGCGUGGGAACGUGCCCUUCGGUUCGGAAUAACUCUGGGGAACUUUUCCUAAAACCGGAUACGUUCGCGAGCAGAAGGGUUUGUCUGCCGUAGGAUCGGCCCGCGUCUGAUUAGCUAGUUGGUGAGGUUACGGCUCACCACGGCUACGAUCAGUAGCUGGUCAGAGAGGCUGCUCAGCCACACUGGGACUGCGACACGGCCCAGACUCCUACGGGAGGCAGCAGUGGGGUAUAUUGGACAAUGGGGCCAACCCUGAUACAGCCGUGCCGCGUGAGUGAUGACGGCCGUAGGGUUGUAAAUCCCUUUUUGCCGGGACGAUAAUGACGGUACCGGGGGAAUAAGCCCCGGCUAACUUCGUG